CCCUUGGGAAAGGCCUUCUGCAAAGACUUCUGUUAAACCUCUGUGCACAUAGUGUUACAAGGGCAACUUUAGUUCGACUUAUGCUUGAUAUGAUUAAACCUGAGGCUGAAGGGUCAUUUAGUGGACUGGCAAUGGUCAACUCCCAGAGGCUUUAUGGCUGUCAGUCAAAUGUUGUUUAUGGUCGAUCACAGUUGUUGGAUGGCCUUCCUCCCUUGGUUCUGCAUCGAAUUCUUGAAAUUUUGACGUAUUUGGCUACAAAUCAUUCAUCUAUAGCAAAUAUGUUGUUCAUGGUCUACUUGGAUCCCUCAAUUGUCCCAGAGCAUUUAGGUCCAAAAUAUUUGGAAAGCAAGAUGGAUAAGGGUAAGGAGAAAAUUGAGAGUGGCGGUGAUGCAUCAAAAUCUUUGGUAAAUGCGGAUGAUGUUCCUUUGAUACUGUUCCUGAAGCUCUUGAAUCGACGACAUUUUUUGUGCAGCAUUUUUUGUGCAGCACUGCACAUCUUGAGCAGGUUAUGGGAUUGCUUCAAGUAGUAAUUUACACAGCUGCAUCAAAAUCAGAGGGCCAAGCCCUGUCUGGACAUCAAACCACAAAUUCUGAAAAGCAAAAUGUGAGUGAAGCUUCAUGUGAUGAUCAAAAAGGUCCUCCAUUGGAACCAGAAUCUAAUCAAGAAGAUAAGUUUACGACUGCUGAGUUAACCACUUCAGAUGGGAAGAGGAGCUUUAGUACAAGCAAUAUAUUCUUCCGGCUGCCACUACCUGAUUUGCGCAAUCUGUGCAGCCUUCUUGGUCGUGAGGGGUUGUCAGACAAAGUUUAUAUGCUAGCUGGUGAAGUGCUAAAGAAGUUGGCCUCUGUUGUCAUAUCCCAUCGGAAGUUCUUCAGUUCAGAGC
rnacentral:misc_RNA from 1 species